GACCCGAUGAAAUUAUAGAUUUAAGCCCAAAUCUUAUUAAUAUAUAUAUAUAUAUAUAUAUAUAUAUUUAGGAUUUAAAAUCUCAUCUACGGUUUUCUUCUACUUAAAGAUAAUUAAAAACAUUUAUGAACAUCUAAAAACUGUUCAGAGAUUUACGAUCAUUAAUAUGUAUGAAUGUUAGCCAGUAUAGUCACGAUAUAACUAUUUCAAAAAGUUACUAUUUUUGGUUUUGUCGGUUGAUCUUUGUUGUCCUAGAGUUUGUUGGACUAGUUAAAUUAGUAUUGCGACCCUAUCCACCUCUCACAUUGAGGACGUACGGUUGGUUGGUGGGUAGGUUUUUUUGCCAGCCAUAGCCAAACUGUGAAGUCAAAAAUAUCUCCACAUCUCACAUGUCACAUGAUUAGUGAUUACCACAUUGAUUGGCUCGUGUUUCUAGCACGAUUUUUGCUUCGUAAGAGGCGCGGAUACAAAAAAAAAUCGUUUCUAUUCGGUGGAUGCCAAAUAUUGUAAAGAAUUGUAAUCUAAUACAUAACCCUAAAUCAUAAACUAUAAUUAAUGGAUCCAGUUAUAUAUACCCAGUACAUGCAUAAGAAAGAUUAUUUUGUUUCUUUACGAAAUAUCAUUUUAAAAUCUUUAAUCGGAAUGACUUCUCUUCUGAUUUAUGCUGUGUAUCGGGUCGGGUCUUUGUUUAUAUUUAUGUGUGGAGGGUCCAAGGGGAUUAACGUAGAUGUAGAAAGAGUCAACGUUUGGUGUAUUAUGUGGCAGAGGAGCUCUCUCAGCUUUCUCCUGUAGUCCUAUAUAUACACACACCAGUCUCCACCCCCUUCGUCACUCACUUCACACACUCCAUAUGCUUACACAUGUUCAUGCAUAUAGACUUAAUACAUUAUGAUUCUGCAUAUAUACAUUCACACACAUAGGUUUGGGAGUGAUGCAGGUUGUUGACAGAAGAUAGAGAGCACUAAGGAUGACAUGCAAGUACAUACAUAUAUAUCAUCACACCGCAAGUGGAUAUAAGGAAAUUCAAGAAAGAGAGGAAAAAAGAGCCUGCAUCUCUACUCUUUUGUGCUCUCUAUACUUCUGUCAAUACCAUUAUUUAUUCCUCUCUCUCUCUUACCUAUAUACGUGCACAUAUUACACAUAUACAUAAUACAUCACAUAUAUGCAUAAUACUAACACUACAUGGAUGCAUGCAUCUCACACAUAUACUUAGGUGUUUUCUUUUUCAUCAGUAAACACUAAUAUCUUGCCACUACAUCUCAGUUAAGGAUUUGUUUUUGUUUCGUUAUAAUUUUUUUCCUAUUAUAUCUUAUUAUGUACAUAUAGACGAAUGUUUAACAUCCAAUACUUGAUAGUAUAUCCAGUGUGCUUAUAAAAUUUCAUACUUUAAUUGAGUAUAUAAAUAUAUCAACUCGCAUUGACUUAUCAACUUUUUGCAGGUUGCAGUUUAGUUUCUUUUGUCUAAUGGAGUCUAAAAGCUUACUUCUUGAUCGCCGGUUUAUAGCUUUAGUUUAAUUAUGUUAUUUUCGGGGAUUUGAAGAAGUUUUAUUGAUUGACACGGAAACUACAAAUCAAGAUGACGCUGUUCAACAUGUUUUUCUUAAUCAGGUCUUCCAAGCAUAGUUCAUUUUCGGUUCAGAACAUUGUAAUUCAUCAAGGCAAUGAGUUAACCAACAAUGUGCAAGAGAUUACGUAGUGUACAUUCUACAGAACAUGUUAUUUGGACAGUUUAUUUGCGUUUACAUAAGCGUUUGCGUUCUCAGACGCAGCCAAGGUUGUUUCAUAUAUGGAAACGCAAGCUCAGCUAAGGUUGUUCUCAUCACAUUACAACAAACACACUCCGUUAGUAUUACAACUCUUGAAACUCGACGAACAAACACAAGAAAACCUAGAGAACAUUCUACAGAGAAUGAACCGCUGAUUCGAUUUCACCGUCCAUAGACUCAGCUAUUUCUCUGAACGACUCGCUAUGGAGAUGCCUAGUGAAACUAGUAGUCGUGUCCAAGAAAUAAAGAAUCGACGACAUCAUACAGCAUGUUCUGAUUAAUCCCCUUUGAUUUGUUUGCGUCUCUGAUAAGAGUCAUUUCUUUCAAACAAGAAUCGUUUUGUUUGUGUAAUAUUCUGUCUUUUGAGUUUACACAUUACAGAGCUUUCUCAUUACCAGAGAAAGCUAAUCUACAGGAAUCAUCUUUCUCUUAAGCAACUUAAGCAUUA